rnacentral:lncRNA from 1 species
GGAAAAACAGGACCUUACAAAAUCCUUGCAAACUUGCAGAAAUAGUUACAAAAAUAGUUAUACAAGCAGAACAAAGAAUGAUGGCAUGGGUAGAGAAUUUCAGGAAGACACUGAUAAGAACUUGUUUCUCUUGUCCCUGUUUUUGGAACCCAUUUCUUCAGGGCCCCUACCUGGCCUUGCAGAAGAGUCCAGCAGAACAAAGUUGGAAGCAGAGGGAGUGAAUCUAAACCUAUGGACAGAUUCAUCUUGGAAACCCUAAGUGAGGCUAAAGGGAGAAAACAAAUUGGAAGGAGAUUUAAAGGAUUCUCAAAUACAAACUGAAGUUUUCAAGAACAGGAUCAUGAAGGACAGUAAAAAUCAGGAAUUGCCAAACUUUGUCACAAUGGCUGUACAACAUCAGUGAGCCGAAGUCAUACCACUGCAUUACAGCCCGGGCGACAGAGAAAGACUCCAUCUCAAAAAAAAAAAAAAAGGAUGGAUGGAAGAGAAGGAAAGGAAGAAAGGAGAAAAGGGAGGGAGGGAGGGAAGGAGGGAGGACUUGUAUGUGAGAAGUGACUUCUACCUUACUGCUUUAAAAAAUGUAUCUGUCUUUUGACAACAUAAAAUGUCUUGUGUCUAAACAUGGAUCCCUUGUAAUUCACGCAACUUCUUACAAGUGAAGAUUACAGUUUUUCAUCAAAUUUGUGAAGUUUUCAGCUAUUAUUAAACUAUUCUUUAAGCCAAUUUCUUUCUUCCCUCUCACUCCUGGUACAGUAUAUCUUGGUAUGCUUACUUCAUGGCGUUCCAUAGAUUAUAUAAGACUAUAUUAAUUUGUCUUAUUUUUCUUUCUCUUCAGACGAGAUAAUCUUAAUUGAAGUUCCUACAAGUUUGCUGAUUCUUUCUUCUGCCUGUUUAAAUCUACUUUUGAGUUCAUCUGGUGAAAUCUUCAUUUCAGUUGUCAUAAUUUUCCACCCCAGAUUCUAUUUAGUUCUUUUUAAUUUCUGAUUAUUGAUAUUCUCCACUUAAUGAGACAUCAUUCUCCUACUUUCCUUUAUUUCUUCACACAUGACUUCCUAAUUAGGCCUUUGAACAAUGUAAUAUAACUGAUUUAUAAGCUACUCUAGUUACUGUGUCUGGACUUCCUUAGAAUGAAUUUCUGUUGGCUGUGCUUUUUCUUGCGUAUAGGCUGUACUUUUUUUUUGGUUUUGUGCCUGUCUCAUUUUUUGUUGUUGUUGAAAACUGAACAUUUAAAAUAAUAUAAUUUGGCAACUGUGAAAAUCAGAUUCUUCAUUUUCCUAAUGUGUGUUAUGAUUGGUUACUGUUGCUUAGUAAACAACAGUACUGUGACUUUCCUAAACUAAUCCUAUAAAGUGUGUGUGUGUUUUGUCAUAUGCAGCAAUUUAAAAGUCUAUCUAAUUACAUAAAAUACAUAUUCAGCUUAUGACUUGACAGAGAUGUGUAGAACCAGC